UGAUGAUCGCCUCUUCAGCAAAGCAUAUUCCGCUUCCCACCCCGCAUUUCGCCAAGCCCAAGCGCCACCGCCGCUCAGGCCCAGCCCGCAUGGACCCCACCGACCAGUCGCCGGAGGAGGUGUACUCCGUGUGGGCCCUCCCGCCGGAGCCCGUCCGCGACCGCCUCCGCGGCCUCAUGGCCGGCCUCCGCGCCGCGCACGGCGGCCCGCCCUUCGAGCCGCACGCCACCGUCGUCGGCGCCGUGCGCAUGCGCCGCCCCGCCGCAAUCCAGGCCCUCCGCGCCGCCGCCGCCGCCGCCGGCGUCGCCCCCUACACCGCCCGCGUCACCGGCGUCGCCCGCGGCGACUUCUUCUACCAGUGCGUCUACCUCCUCCUCGAGCCCACCCCCGAGGUGAUCCAGACAAGCGACCACUUCUGCGCCCACUUCGGGUUUCAGAGAUCAACCCCAUAUAUGCCACAUGUAAGUCUCCUGUAUGGGGAUCUAACAGACGAAGAGAAGGAAGCAGCAAGGAAGAAAGUAGAGGAAAUGGACAGUGAAAUUUCUGGACUGCAGUUUGAGAUCUCCGAGCUCGCACUUUAUCGAACGGAUACUGAGGAUAAAAGCUUGGAGUCCUGGGAACUGGUGGAGGUAUGCCACCUUGGGAAGAAGUGAUCGGUUCCUCCCGAUGAUAUGCUUCUGCUAUGGUCUUAGCUCAGCACCUGCCAGGACUAGCCUAUUGUUGUAAGCUAUCCUGAGUGGAACAGUUGAUGUAAAUGGAUCAAGCACAUCUUGUAGAACAUGGGCCACAACCAAUGGAUCCGCUGCCGACAUAUACUGGAGGACUACCAGUUAACAGCCUUAGCCUUUGUCUAUUAUUGUGCCUAGCUCUCUACAGACCUGAAACAAAUUGUGUCUAUGUAUGACCUACUUGCACGAACUACUUGUAUUGUGCGAUGAGGGUUGUCUUAUUCACCUUUCAAAAGUUUUGAUACUAGCGUCAUGUUGUGCGUCACCUGUACGUAAUGUCAUUGAUAUUUGUCGAUUAGAUCCUGUACUUUAUGGAGUGGUCGGGCCGUAGAUAUUUUGACAUGCAUGCUAAAGCCAUCCUAUUAUUAGCAUGGCUGUGGUAUACUGGGACGAGCUUGUGAAUUGUAAACGAUAGUUAGCGCAUUCCUUUGGUCACAACCUCUUUGGAGAUAAUGGGUACCAUAUUUCUGAACCUAACAAUGUAGUGACGCUGAACAUGUAGGUGUACUUAACAUGCUUAGGUUCUUCAUUUCAACUGCAUGCUUACUGGUAUUAAGUACUUUCCCUUGUAUUUUUUUUAGAUAUCUGCUGACAUUGUUUUCUUGUUGGCAUGUAAUGCAUUUGCACAGCAUUAAAAGAUUUUUUCCCUUCUGAAAACUCAUAUUCCUUAUAGCUUAGGGUCAUUAUUUUAUUCAAAAUCAGGGAUAACAUAAAAUGGACUAGUAGGAAUGGAAAACAUAUGCUUGCAACCCACUUAAUUGCACUCAGGCCAGGAGCCUGCUCAUGUCACUGUUGUUUACAAAGUGAAUUUUUUCUACUGUGACCUGCCAAGUUGCAGCAAUACUCUAUGUUGGAACAGGGCCAUCACUCUUCUACUUAUUGCCGAAAAAAUGAGCUGCAUGCAUCUUCUUGAAGCCACUGUUAUGUUCUGUGCAACUUUUAGCAAAGAUCUAAGGGAUUACAGAAAUGGACUGGUAGGAACAGGAAAACAUAUGCUUGCAACCCACUUAAUUGCACUCAGGGGAUAGAGCCUUGUCACGGCAAUAUUGUUUACAGGGUGAAUUGUUUCUGCUGGGUCCUGCCAAGUUGCGGCGAUACUCUAUAUUGGAACAGGGCCACCACUCUUUUGAUAUCGACAAAAAGGUCGAGCAGGCGUGCCCUGGAAAGCUCCUCCUCCUAGCUUAGGCUUUACUUCCAGUUUGGCACGUAAAGGAUGCUGGUAUUUUCUGUUAGUUCGUCAUCUCAAUGAUAUAGGUAUCCUGCUGUCGCCGUCGUUUGACAAAAAGAGAAGAAAAUAUGGAUGCCCUAUAUCAGAAUGAUCAUCAGUUUCUCCCGAUCGACGGAGGCCUCAAAACUGAAGAUGAUCCUUCCAGCGCACUCUGUUUUCAGAUGUAUACUAUCCACAGAAGGGGGUAUCGGAGGGGUGCUGGUGCAUUAUUGGUUGUUCUCCCCUAUCCACGCACGUACAUGGAAAUGGAAUAAAGGCGGCGUCAGGGAUUCAUCUAGUAAGUCCCCGUCCCCUGAUUCUUGAUGCGGAUAUGACGACGUUGAGCCGCUGCCACUCGCCGGAUGGUCGGCGGAGGGGGCGUGCUGACGGCGACGCCCGGACUUUGACAGCUUUGUCUUCUCCCCUAAUUUUCUUUUUAUGAUCAGUAGAGUAAGUAUUUUUUUUAUGAUCUUUUUUUAGAAGAAGUAAUUUUUCUUUGAGAACAGAAGUAAUUUUUGUGAUCAGUAGAGAGUAACAAAGAACAGUCCAGGAGUGGGUGGGCUGUUGGCGGCCCCCUGUGUGGGCCGUGGCAAUGCUAGUAGUGAGUGUCUGGGCUUAGCCCAGCGUAAGCCGCACCGUGGGCCUUGCAGAAAAUAUUACGCGGGCCAUCUUGUUAUUUUCGUACUACGUCUCCUAGAAAAUGUGGUCCCGUAACGCUGGGACUUAAUAGUUCUGUCUGUACCCUAAAAUAAAGAUUAUGCUAAAAAAAUGGGAAAUGAUUGGUUUCUGCCGA